rfam:Sorghum bicolor cultivar BTx623 chromosome 1, whole genome shotgun sequence.
GACGAGAUGGCCGAGUUGGUCUAAGGCGCGGUUCUGGUCCGAAAGGGCGUGGGUUCAAAUCCCACUCUCGUCA